rnacentral:rRNA from 1 species
GUUGGGUAGGGGAGCGUUCUGUAAGCCUGUGAAGGUGGCCUGUGAGGGUUGCUGGAGGUAUCAGAAGUGCGAAUGCUGACAUAAGUAACGAUAAAGCGGGUGAAAAGCCCGCUCGCCGGAAGACCAAGGGUUCCUGUCCAACGUUAAUCGGGGCAGGGUGAGUCGACCCCUAAGGCGAGGCCGAAAGGCGUAGUCGAUGGGAAACGGGUUAAUAUUCCCGUACUUGGUGUUACUGCGAAGGGGGGACGGAGAAGGCUAUGUUGGCCGGGCGACGGUUGUCCCGGUUUAAGCGUGUAGGCUGGUUUUCCAGGCAAAUCCGGUUCACUUUAACACUGAGGCGUGAUGACGAGGCACUACGGUGCUGAAGCAACAAAUGCCCUGCUUCCAGGAAAAGCCUCUAAGCAUCAGGUAACAUCAAAUCGUACCCCAAACCGACACAGGUGGUCAGGUAGAGAAUACCAAGGCGCUUGAGAGAACUCGGGUGAAGGAACUAGGCAAAAUGGUGCCGUAACUUCGGGAGAAGGCACGCUGACACGUAGGUGAAGUGAUUUACUCAUGGAGCUGAAGUCAGUCGAAGAUACCAGCUGGCUGCAACUGUUUAUUAAAAACACAGCACUGUGCAAACACGAAAGUGGACGUAUACGGUGUGACGCCUGCCCGGUGCCGGAAGGUUAAUUGAUGGGGUCAGCGCAAGCGAAGCUCCUGAUCGAAGCCCCGGUAAACGGCGGCCGUAACUAUAACGGUCCUAAGGUAGCGAAAUUCCUUGUCGGGUAAGUUCCGACCUGCACGAAUGGCGUAAUGAUGGCCAGGCUGUCUCCACCCGAGACUCAGUGAAAUUGAACUCGCUGUGAAGAUGCAGUGUACCCGCGGCAAGACGGAAAGACCCCGUGAACCUUUACUAUAGCUUGACACUGAACAUUGAGCCUUGAUGUGUAGGAUAGGUGGGAGGCUUUGAAGUGUGGACGCCAGUCUGCAUGGAGCCGACCUUGAAAUACCACCCUUUAAUGUUUGAUGUUCUAACGUGGACCCGUGAUCCGGGUUGCGGACAGUGUCUGGUGGGUAGUUUGACUGGGGCGGUCUCCUCCUAAAGAGUAACGGAGGAGCACGAAGGUUGGCUAAUCCUGGUCGGACAUCAGGAGGUUAGUGCAAUGGCAUAAGCCAGCUUGACUGCGAGCGUGACGGCGCGAGCAGGUGCGAAAGCAGGUCAUAGUGAUCCGGUGGUUCUGAAUGGAAGGGCCAUCGCUCAACGGAUAAAAGGUACUCCGGGGAUAACAGGCUGAUACCGCCCAAGAGUUCAUAUCGACGGCGGUGUUUGGCACCUCGAUGUCGGCUCAUCACAUCCUGGGGCUGAAGUAGGUCCCAAGGGUAUGGCUGUUCGCCAUUUAAAGUGGUACGCGAGCUGGGUUUAGAACGUCGUGAGACAGUUCGGUCCCUAUCUGCCGUGGGCGCUGGAGAACUGAGGGGGGCUGCUCCUAGUACGAGAGGACCGGAGUGGACGCAUCACUGGUGUUCGGGUUGUCAUGCCAAUGGCACUGCCCGGUAGCUAAAUGCGGAAGAGAUAAGUGCUGAAAGCAUCUAAGCACGAAACUUGCCCCGAGAUGAGUUCUCCCUGAGACUUAGAGUCUCCUGAAGGAACGUUGAAGACGACGACGUUGAUAGGCCGGGUGUGUAAGCGCAGCGAUGCGUUGAGCUAACCGGUACUAAUGAACCGUGAGGCUUAACCUUACAACGCCGAAG